CAAAGUUAAUUUUAUUCCAAUGUGUUUAUAGCUGACAUAUUUUCGAAGCCACAGGAUCAUGUUUUCUCCUUUGUGCAGUUUAUUUAUUUCUUUUUUUAGUUCACAUUUCUUCCACCAAUGCCGCUUAUGCACUCAUGAAUAAUCUGCACCCAUUUUGAGGGAACUGCCUCACACUGAGACUACGGACCGCGAACAGAAGUGCAAAAAUUGAAGCUGAAAGCUGGAACAACUCAGGCAAUAGCAGCUGCACGCAGAUGAGCAGGCACUGCUUUCAAAAACAUAAGAAACAAAGAGGCUGUGCAGGGACAAGAGAAAAUAAAUUUGAACUGUUCUACGGAUGUCUUCUUGAUGCAGCGAUGCAGUUACUCUCUGUCUUUCCCAUCUGUCUUGUAUACUGAAAGUGCCAGAAUGCGAUUAAAAAGAAAAGGAAUACCUUUAUGUAUAUUUCCUCUUACCUAUGAUGUAUUAUCAAAGCAAUGAUGUUCUCUGUUUUUGGAGUGAAGUAAAAAAGUGAAGAAUUAUAGAGCAGGACACCUGUUCUUAAAGUAAUCCCAUGGACUAGAGAAAAAUUCCAGAGGAAUUUGCUUUUUCCUCCCAG